UGUUGCAAGGCGCUUCUCAGCCCAGCCCUCUUUGGGGCCUCCCUUAGCCCCGCCUUUCUCGCCUUGCAGGAGACCUGAGCCGCCACCCAGGGAUUGUAACCUGAGUCUUUUCAACUGUCUUUCUCCGGUUUUGUAGCAGGGAGCCUUUUGUCUCCCAGCGCCUCCAGCAGAGUCUGGAGAGCCACAGGUCCUGGCAUCUUUAUAGAUGGAGCCAGGAUCUGAGCCAGGAUUCAGCAUUGGCAUAAUUGAAAGAUCCACCCAUGCUGGAAUGACAGGGGGCAUGGUGGGAGGAGGGCCCUUCCCAGCUACUGCUUUUAGAAGGCUUCAGGGUACACGAUUUGUCUAAACCUGGGAGAGGUCAAAGCAGUGUGUUGGGAACGCCUUGUCAUACUCAUUGCAGCUUGUGGAUAUGCUAAAAGCAUAGAAAAAGAAAAGUAAAACACACUCAAGCUCAGAGGUUUUAAGAUUUCCCACUUGGAGUGAACUCUUUUCCAUAAGGAUUUGCUUCUGAAGAAACCCAUCCACCUCUGCUGAGAAGUCCAGGGCCUUAGGAAAAUCCCUGGUCUGGAACCUGCUAUUUGCUUUGGCACCAAUGGGGAGAUCCCCUCCCCUCUCCCCGAACAAACAGUGGUUUCAGAAGAAGGAUUUUCUUCAGGAACUCAGCAGGCAUCCUGCUAGCCUUCUCCUGUGCAUCUUACUUUGAAGGAGGUCAGACCCCAUGUGGUCCUUCGCUCUAGUCUGUUUUGGUCUUCUUGUAAACCUGCUGCUGUCCACACUUCAGUGGUGAUCAAAUGCGUGGUGGUGGUGGAGGAGGUGGAGGUGGAGAGGCACAGCCCAAUUUAACAAUGCUGCUGAAACUGCCAAGCAUAAUGGAUGAACCACAAGAGAGUACAAAAGAGAAACUAGCAACACCAGGCAAAUGAACCUGACAAACUGGCUAGUUGAUGAUCAAAUGUUGAGCCAGAACUGGCAAAGUGGGCAUGGCACUCCUUGGAACACAUUGUCGGAUGCCGUGGGUUGAUGGGUUCCCCCCCCCCGGAAGCCAUCUCCUGUCAUUUCUGCCACAGAUUCAGAAAACGCCCUUGGCUGUCGCUUGCUUCAGUGAAAACAAGUUGAGAGUAUGCUGAGGAGCAGAUUUGGAACAGAUCAAGCUCAACAUCUUUUUCAACCAGCUGUUUGUGGUUGCCCCCUGCUCUAUCAUUUAUUUUAAAAAAAGAACUUGCAAAGCUGCAAUUCUGGCUUUGCUUAGGCAGCAGGUUUUAGAUCGUUAGCAACAAGGGCCCUGGAGAUGGACUGGCUUCAUGGACGACACUUUCAAAACAAAUUUACCUUUCUCUGUACAUGUCAGAUUAAUGAACGCUGUUGACUGGUUUCUUGCUGCCGAGCAAAGGAGAAUAGCUGUUUGUCACAGAGAGACGCAGGGCUGCUUGAAGGCAAAACUCCAUUUCAUGAAUAAAAACACAAAAGGUGAUUUGGAAGCAGAAUGAAAACCCUUCUCACAGUCAAAUGAUUUUGUGUGUGUAUAUUUUUACCCUGGAUCCUACUCAGCAGAGAAAAUAAGUCCUUUUAGUCAAUGUUUUAAAAGCAUACAAAGAUACUGCAAAGUAGAAAGGAUCAUUAUAUACGGCAUCAUGCAGGUGGAUGAGAGACCAGCGAGGACAAUGUGUGUGUCUGUGGGUGUUACAAGGACCAGAUGAUCAGCACUGUAACAGUUUCAGUGCUGAAUUACAGGUAGGUGAAACCAUGGCAAAGUGAAGCAUGAACCACAGCAAGAUGGAACCCUUACAGCAAGUCUGCGGGAGGAUCAGUCCCAGAGCAGAAUGAAGUCACUUGCAGGCCAGGGUUAGGGAGCGAGCUGAGACCUAGGAUGGAGGCAGGUAGGUGAAGGAGAAUGGCAGGCUGGGAGUGGAGCGUAUAAGAAGGCAGAUAGAGGAGGAAAUGAAACAAGCAAAACUGGAGUCUGGUGGUUGUUGACGCAAAGACACAGGCCUGGCCUGAAAACAUAGACAA